rnacentral:lncRNA from 1 species
AACUAGGCAUAUGCUCUUGAUUUCUAUCGUUGGCAAUUUGUGGGCCCUGGAUAAGUGUUUGCUAUUUGCAUGUGUCUGGGGAAGCACCCUAGGAUACUAAGGUAAGACCUAAAAUGGCGAUUUGAAGAAUGAUGUGAGAUUGAGGUGGAUACUUGUGUAAGUGGUGAUGAGUAAUGUCUUUGUCUGCAAAUAGAUGAUUAGCUGCAACUGAGAUUCCUGUUUUCAAUAUAGCUCAUGAGAAGGCCUAUUAAAAUAUCAAUAGACUGGUUCCAUUUAUAUAGCAUUUGUCUUUCAGAUUUCCAAGUCUCUUCUGGUGUGCUGAGGUAUAUUUCAAUGUCUUCUCUCCGCUGAGGAUGACAGGGAGGACUCACGUAGCCACAUUGGCAAUGUUCUUUCAGAAGCACUAUUUGGGAACCUUGGAGCCUCUGGAAGAUGAACACCAUACCAUCCACAAUGUCAGGAUGAAAGUAGCUUCACUUCCCUGGGGUUCACGCCGUGGACAGUGCAACCUUCAGAUGCAAGGCUGAGCAUGAUUCAUUUAAAUCCCACCUGGAACUAUUCAAACAGGUGUGUGUCUAUGCUGAUUAGUUCUCAUUUCCACACUUAGAGAGCCCUCUAGAAUUGGAAUGGGUAUAAUAGUGGUAUUCAGCCCAUUCAAAUGUCGAUUAAUUAGCAAGUAUUCUG